UACACAUGGCAGAUGGAUGGAUGCAUUUAUGCAAUAAAUAUCAUCCAUACCAUUUCUUCACGAAAUAGGAUUUAUUCUCUUUCAUGUGACUCGAGCAGCAUAAAAUUUUGCAACAGAGAAACUUCAAAUUGUUUCUUGGAAAUAAGGGAAGGAGCACACUAUUUGAAACAACCAAUGACAUAGUCCAAAACAAUUUGAUGCGGGAAAAGAGAGAAAAACAAGAAGAGAAGGAAAAGCCAAAGAAUGAAGGAAAAUAUAGCUAGGGAAAGCAAAUUGAAAAAAAGAGGAGAAGAAAAGAAUCAGAAGAGAUCGCAAAUAAUAUUCUCAAUUAUCCACAAAAAAGCAGAAGUCUUCCCCAAAAAUAUUGACCCAUGUACAACACCAAGAUAAAGUAACAUAUUAAUCCCUAAAUUAAAAAAAACACAAAUAAAAACAUCUCUGAAAAUAUAUCCUAAUUAAUAGGAAUACUCAAUAAGAAAUUCAAAUAUUAGAUAUUCAAAUAAUUCUCAAAUAUGAAAAAUUCUACAUCUUGGAUUGUUCUAUCAUUCUCUUCCAUUGGAGAAACUCAACCUAAGUUUUGAAGGGUCAUAAAGAGCAUUAAUUGUUUGGUUCCAUUCCAUGGACUUGAUUCUUUCCUUUGUUGGCAGUGGUUGGUAAGGAUGACAAUAUAAUAUGUUUUUUUCAACAGCACCACUAAAUUUAUUUGG
rnacentral:misc_RNA from 1 species